AGUGAACGCUGGCGGUAGGCCUAACACAUGCAAGUCGAACGGCAGCACAGUAAGAGCUUGCUCUUACGGGUGGCGAGUGGCGGACGGGCGAGGAAUACAUCGGAAUCUACUUUUUCGUGGGGGAUAACGUAGGGAAACUUACGCUAAUACCGCAUACGACCUACGGGUGAAAGCAGGGGAUCUUCGGACCUUGCGCGAUUGAAUGAGCCGAUGUCGGAUUAGCUAGUUGGCGGGGUAAAGGCCCACCAAGGCGACGAUCCGUAGCUGGUCUGAGAGGAUGAUCAGCCACACUGGAACUGAGACACGGUCCAGACUCCUACGGGAGGCAGCAGUGGGGAAUAUUGGACAAUGGGCGCAAGCCUGAUCCAGCCAUACCGCGUGGGUGAAGAAGGCCUUCGGGUUGUAAAGCCCUUUUGUUGGGAAAGAAAAGCAGCAGGUUAAUACCCCGCUGUUCUGACGGUACCCAAAGAAUAAGCUCCGGCUAACUUCGUG
rnacentral:rRNA from 1 species